GAUGAACGCUGGCGGCGUGCCUAAUACAUGCAAGUCGAGCGAACAGACGAGGAGCUUGCUCCUCUGACGUUAGCGGCGGACGGGUGAGUAACACGUGGAUAACCUACCUAUAAGACUGGGAUAACUUCGGGAAACCGGAGCUAAUACCGGAUAACAUGUUGAACCGCAUGGUUCAACAGUGAAAGACGGUCUUGCUGUCACUUAUAGAUGGAUCCGCGCCGCAUUAGCUAGUUGGUAAGGUAACGGCUUACCAAGGCAACGAUGCGUAGCCGACCUGAGAGGGUGAUCGGCCACACUGGAACUGAGACACGGUCCAGACUCCUACGGGAGGCAGAAGUAGGGAAUCUUCCGCAAUGGGCGAAAGCCUGACGGAGCAACGCCGCGUGAGUGAUGAAGGUCUUCGGAUCGUAAAACUCUGUUAUUAGGGAAGAACAAAUGUGUAAGUAACUAUGCACGUCUUGACGGUACCUAAUCAGAAAGCCACGGCUAACUACGUG
rnacentral:rRNA from 1 species